GGCAAAACCCGCCUGCGCGGGUUA
rfam:Cylindrospermum stagnale PCC 7417, complete genome.